rnacentral:rRNA from 1 species
UUAAGCGACUAAGCGUACACGGUGGAUGCCCUGGCAGUCAGAGGCGAUGAAGGGCGUGCUAAUCUGCGAUAAGCGCCGGUAAGGUGAUAUGAACCGUUAUAACCGGCGAUACCCGAAUGGGGAAACCCAGUGUGACUCGUCACACUAUCAUUAACUGAAUCCAUAGGUUAAUGAGGCGAACCGGGGGAACUGAAACAUCUAAGUACCCCGAGGAAAAGAAAUCAACCGAGAUUCCCCCAGUAGCGGCGAGCGAACGGGGAGGAGCCCAGAGCCUGAAUCAGCAUGUGUGUUAGUGGAAGCGUCUGGAAAGGCGCGCGAUACAGGGUGACAGCCCCGUACACAAAAGCGCAUGUGCUGUGAGCUCGAUGAGUAGGGCGGGACACGUGGUAUCCUGUCUGAAUAUGGGGGGACCAUCCUCCAAGGCUAAAUACUCCUGACUGACCGAUAGUGAACCAGUACCGUGAGGGAAAGGCGAAAAGAACCCCGGCGAGGGGAGUGAAAAAGAACCUGAAACCGUGUACGUACAAGCAGUGGGAGCACAGGUUUACCUGUGUGACUGCGUACCUUUUGUAUAAUGGGUCAGCGACUUAUAUUCUGUAGCAAGGUUAACCGAAUAGGGGAGCCGGAGGGAAACCGAGUCUUAAUUGGGCGUUAAGUUGCAGGGUAUAGACCCGAAACCCGGUGAUCUAGCCAUGGGCAGGUUGAAGGUUGGGUAACACUAACUGGAGGACCGAACCGACUAAUGUUGAAAAAUUAGCGGAUGACCUGUGGCUGGGGGUGAAAGGCCAAUCAAACCGGGAGAUAGCUGGUUCUCCCCGAAAGCUAUUUAGGUAGCGCCUCGUGAAUUCAUCUCCGGGGGUAGAGCACUGUUUCGGCUAGGGGGCCAUCCCGGCUUACCAACCCGAUGCAAACUGCGAAUACCGGAGAAUGUUAUCACGGGAGACACACGGCGGGUGCUAACGUCCGUCGUGAAGAGGGAAACAACCCAGACCGCCAGCUAAGGUCCCAAAGUCAUGGUUAAGUGGGAAACGAUGUGGGAAGGCCCAGACAGCCAGGAUGUUGGCUUAGAAGCAGCCAUCAUUUAAAGAAAGCGUAAUAGCUCACUGGUCGAGUCGGCCUGCGCGGAAGAUGUAACGGGGCUAAACCAUGCACCGAAGCUGCGGCAGCGACGCUUAUGCGUUGUUGGGUAGGGGAGCGUUCUGUAAGCCUGUGAAGGUGGCCUGUGAGGGUUGCUGGAGGUAUCAGAAGUGCGAAUGCUGACAUAAGUAACGAUAAAGCGGGUGAAAAGCCCGCUCGCCGGAAGACCAAGGGUUCCUGUCCAACGUUAAUCGGGGCAGGGUGAGUCGACCCCUAAGGCGAGGCCGAAAGGCGUAGUCGAUGGGAAACGGGUUAAUAUUCCCGUACUUGGUGUUACUGCGAAGGGGGGACGGAGAAGGCUAUGUUGGCCGGGCGACGGUUGUCCCGGUUUAAGCGUGUAGGUGUGUGUUCCAGGUAAAUCCGGUUCACUUUAACACUGAGGCGUGAUGACGAGGCACUACGGUGCUGAAGUAACAAAUGCCCUGCUUCCAGGAAAAGCCUCUAAGCAUCAGGUAACAUCAAAUCGUACCCCAAACCGACACAGGUGGUCAGGUAGAGAAUACCAAGGCGCUUGAGAGAACUCGGGUGAAGGAACUAGGCAAAAUGGUGCCGUAACUUCGGGAGAAGGCACGCUGACACGUAGGUGAAGUGAUUUACUCAUGGAGCUGAAGUCAGUCGAAGAUACCAGCUGGCUGCAACUGUUUAUUAAAAACACAGCACUGUGCAAACACGAAAGUGGACGUAUACGGUGUGACGCCUGCCCGGUGCCGGAAGGUUAAUUGAUGGGGUCAGCGCAAGCGAAGCUCCUGAUCGAAGCCCCGGUAAACGGCGGCCGUAACUAUAACGGUCCUAAGGUAGCGAAAUUCCUUGUCGGGUAAGUUCCGACCUGCACGAAUGGCGUAAUGAUGGCCAGGCUGUCUCCACCCGAGACUCAGUGAAAUUGAACUCGCUGUGAAGAUGCAGUGUACCCGCGGCAAGACGGAAAGACCCCGUGAACCUUUACUAUAGCUUGACACUGAACAUUGAGCCUUGAUGUGUAGGAUAGGUGGGAGGCUUUGAAGUGUGGACGCCAGUCUGCAUGGAGCCGACCUUGAAAUACCACCCUUUAAUGUUUGAUGUUCUAACGUGGACCCGUUACCCGGGUUGCGGACAGUGUCUGGUGGGUAGUUUGACUGGGGCGGUCUCCUCCUAAAGAGUAACGGAGGAGCACGAAGGUUGGCUAAUCCUGGUCGGACAUCAGGAGGUUAGUGCAAUGGCAUAAGCCAGCUUGACUGCGAGCGUGACGGCGCGAGCAGGUGCGAAAGCAGGUCAUAGUGAUCCGGUGGUUCUGAAUGGAAGGGCCAUCGCUCAACGGAUAAAAGGUACUCCGGGGAUAACAGGCUGAUACCGCCCAAGAGUUCAUAUCGACGGCGGUGUUUGGCACCUCGAUGUCGGCUCAUCACAUCCUGGGGCUGAAGUAGGUCCCAAGGGUAUGGCUGUUCGCCAUUUAAAGUGGUACGCGAGCUGGGUUUAGAACGUCGUGAGACAGUUCGGUCCCUAUCUGCCGUGGGCGCUGGAGAACUGAGGGGGGCUGCUCCUAGUACGAGAGGACCGGAGUGGACGCAUCACUGGUGUUCGGGUUGUCAUGCCAAUGGCACUGCCCGGUAGCUAAAUGCGGAAGAGAUAAGUGCUGAAAGCAUCUAAGCACGAAACUUGCCCCGAGAUGAGUUCUCCCUGAGACUUAAAGUCUCCUGAAGGAACGUUGAAGACGACGACGUUGAUAGGCCGGGUGUGUAAGCGCAGCGAUGCGUUGAGCUAACCGGUACUAAUGAACCGUGAGGCUUAACCCU